AAUGAACGCUGGCGGCAUGCCUAACACAUGCAAGUCGAGCGGAGAGGCGGACGGGGGGGUAAUGCCUAGGAAUCUGCAUGGGAGUGGGGGAUCCCGUCCGGCAACGGGCGCUAAGACCGCAUACUUUAAUAUGAGCCUAGGUCGGAUUAGAUAGUUGGUGGGGUAAAGGCCUACCAAGGCGACGAUCCGUAACUGGCCUGAGGGGAUGAUCAGUCACACUGGAACUGAGACACGGCCCAGACUCCUACGGGAGGCAGCAGUGGGGAAUAUUGGACAAUGGGCGAAAGCCUGAUCCAGCCAUGCCGCGUGUGUGAAGAAGGUCUUCGGAUUGUAAAGCACUGUAAGUUGGGAGGCGUUACCUACAGAAUAAGCCCCGGCUAACUUCGUGCCAGCAGCCGCGGUAAUAC
rnacentral:rRNA from 1 species